rnacentral:rRNA from 1 species
ACGAACGCUGGCGGCGUGCUUAACACAUGCAAGUCGAACGGUGAAGCGCCUUCCUUUUUGGUGGGUGUGGAUGAGUGGCGCACGGGUGAGUAACACGUGAGUAACCUGCCCCCUUCUUCUGGAUAACCGCAUGAAAGUGUGGCUAAUACGGGAUAUUCUGGGUCUGUCGCAUGAUGGGUCUGGGAAAGAUAUUGUUUCGGUGGGGGAUGGGCUCGCGGCCUAUCAGCUUGUUGGUGGGGUGAUGGCCUACCAAGGCGGUGACGGGUAGCCGGCCUGAGAGGGUGGACGGUCACACUGGGACUGAGACACGGCCCAGACUCCUACGGGAGGCAGCAGUGGGGAAUAUUGCACAAUGGGCGCAAGCCUGAUGCAGCGACGCCGCGUGAGGGAUGGAGGCCUUCGGGUUGUGAACCUCUUUCGCCAGUGAAGCAGGCCUGCCUCGUUUGUGGGUGGGUUGACGGUAGCUGGAUAAGAAGCGCCGGCUAACUACGUG